AGGACGAACGCUGGCGGCGUGCUUAACACAUGCAAGUCGAGCGAGGCCCUUCCUUCGGGAAGGUGCCCUAGCGGCGAACGGGUGAGUAACACGUGGGCAACCUGCCCCUAGCACUGGGAUAACUCCGGGAAACCGGGGCUAAUACCGGAUAUGACCUUCGAGGGCAUCCUUGAAGGUGUAAAGGAUUCUGGCUAGGGAUGGGCCCGCGGCCUAUCAGCUUGUUGGUGGGUAAUGGCCUACCAAGGCGACGACGGGUA
rnacentral:rRNA from 1 species